rnacentral:ncRNA from 2 species
CGCUCUUUCUGUGGCUGAUUUGUAACCGGAUUGCGGGCCACGUUAAAUAUCCCGCUAAAGAGGUCAGGAUGUGAAGGAC